rnacentral:rRNA from 1 species
AGUGGUACGUGAGCUGGGUUCAGACCGUCGUGAGACAGGUCGGUCCCUAUCUGCUGUGGGCGUACGAAACUUGAGGAGAUUCUUCUUUAGUACGAGAGGAUUUGGAAGGACGUUCCUCUGGUGUCCCAGUUGUCAUGCCCGUGGCACGGCUGGAUAGCUAUGAACGGAAAGGAUAAACGCUGAAAGCAUCUAAGCGUGAAGCCCGCUCCAAGAUUAGGUUUCGUAAGUACUUUGUACGAGAGUCCCCUGGAAGACGACCAGGUUGAUAGGCCAGAUGUGUAAGCUCAGUAAUGAGUUCAGCUAACUGGUACUAACGGACG